rnacentral:rRNA from 1 species
UAGAGUUUGAUCAUGGCUCAGAUUGAACGCUGGCGGCAGGCCUAACACAUGCAAGUCGAGCGGCAGCGGAAAGUAGCUUGCUACUUUGCCGGCGAGCGGCGGACGGGUGAGUAAUGUCUGGGAAACUGCCUGAUGGAGGGGGAUAACUACUGGAAACGGUAGCUAAUACCGCAUGAUGUCGCAAGACCAAAGUGGGGGACCUUCGGGCCUCACGCCAUCGGAUGUGCCCAGAUGGGAUUAGCUAGUAGGUGAGGUAAUGGCUCACCUAGGCGACGAUCCCUAGCUGGUCUGAGAGGAUGACCAGCCACACUGGAACUGAGACACGGUCCAGACUCCUACGGGAGGCAGCAGUGGGGAAUAUUGCACAAUGGGCGCAAGCCUGAUGCAGCCAUGCCGCGUGUGUGAAGAAGGCCUUAGGGUUGUAAAGCACUUUCAGCGAGGAGGAAGGCGUUGUAGUUAAUAGCUGCAACGAUUGACGUUACUCGCAGAAGAAGCACCGGCUAACUCCGUGCCAGCAGCCGCGGUAAUACGGAGGGUGCAAGCGUUAAUCGGAAUUACUGGGCGUAAAGCGCACGCAGGCGGUUUGUUAAGUCGGAUGUGAAAUCCCCGAGCUUAACUUGGGAACUGCAUUUGAAACUGGCAAGCUAGAGUCUUGUAGAGGGGGGUAGAAUUCCAGGUGUAGCGGUGAAAUGCGUAGAGAUCUGGAGGAAUACCGGUGGCGAAGGCGGCCCCCUGACAAAGACUACGCUCAGUCGAAGCG